rnacentral:rRNA from 1 species
CGAAAGGGAUGCUAAUACCGCAUACGUCCUACGGGAGAAAGCAGGGGAUCUCCAAACCUUGCGCUAAUAGAUGAGCCUAAGUCGGAUUAGUUAGUUGGUGGGGUAAAGGCCUACCAAGGCGACAAUCUGUAGCGGAUCUGAGAGGAUGAUCCGCCACACUGGGACUGAGACACGGCCCAGACUCCUACGGGAGGCAGCAGUGGGGAAUAUUGGACAAUGGGGGGAGCCCUGAUCCAGCCAUGCCGCAGCGG